UAAUUGACAGAUGCCUGAAUCUCGCUUA
rnacentral:piRNA from 1 species